AUAACACGUUAUCAGCACGAGUCUCUAACCAAUUGAAAUUUUCGAUUGUCUUAACUUUUGUUUGUGUAGGGUUUUGCUUCAAAGAAAGAAGGAAAAGAAGAAAAAAAAAGAAGGAAAAGGCAGAAGCCUUAUUCAAACAAACAAAACAAAAACGUGAAGAAAGAAAAGGAAAAAAAAAGGAAAGAAAGAAGGAAAACAGAAAGAAGGAGAUAGAAUUCUUUAUUGGUAUAU
rnacentral:lncRNA from 1 species